UGAGGAAUAUUGGUCAAUGGGCGCAAGCCUGAACCAGCCAUCCCGCGUGCAGGAAGACGGCGCUAUGCGUUGUAAACUGCUUUUCCAGGGAGAGAAACUCGCGCACGUGUUGCGCAAUUGACGGUACCCUAGGAAUAAGCAUCGGCUAACUCCGUGCCAGCAGCCGCGGUAAUACGGAGGAUGCGAGCGUUAUCCGGAUUCAUUGGGUUUAAAGGGUGCGUAGGCGGACUAUUAAGUCAGUGGUGAAAUCCUGCAGCUUAACUGCAGAACUGCCAUUGAUACUGAUAGCCUUGAGUUUGGUUAAGGUAGGCGGAAUGUGUAAUGUAGCGGUGAAAUGCUUAGAUAUUACACAGAACACCAAUUGCGUAGGCAGCUUACUGAGCCGACACUGACGCUGAGGCACGAAAGCGUGGGGGUCGAACAG
rnacentral:rRNA from 1 species